rnacentral:lncRNA from 1 species
GGAUAACAGUAAAGAGAUUUUUACCAUGUGGGUAAAAUAUAUGAAAAGAAAUAUUUUUUCUUUUUAGAGAGCUUUUAUUAUGCCAGAAUUUUCCUCCAGGGAACAGACAAAGGAGAUCCUCGCAGUCUAUCUCAACAUAUAUUAGCUAGUUUGGUUCAUCUUUCAUUUAGAACUGGCUGUAGAAGCAAAUUGAAACCCUUCCAAACAGCCUAAAAUCUUUGAAGCCUCCCAAGACCUGAGCCUCCAUCUGCAACUAAUUUUGCAAAUGAUUCAUCUCUUGUCUUCAGAGAAGAUAUGGGUGCAAAUUAUAACUGUACUAAGCUACCUCAAACUUUUGAGAUCUUCAGCUGAAUGCAAAUUUUCAUCUGUUUUCUUUAAAAUUUUGGUUCAGCCUGUUUUAACACUUAACCCAUUGGAUGUUUAGAGCACUGGGCACUUUAUAGUUGUGGAAAUCAAGCGAGUCAUUUCUGUGCUUAUGAAAGACUUUGGGUGUCUCCCCUGAGAGCCAAGUCAAUUACAGUCAGAUCUUAUCAGAAGUUACAGCAUUUGCUAACACAGAGUGACAUGCCAAGUGUCAUGAGUCCCCCACUUGAGUUGCUUGCUUGCAGUGCAAAAGAGCAUUUCAACAGAUGCCUAAAUUACAGCAUGAAUUACAGCUCAGUCUAGCUGAGUAAUGCUCACCGUGCUCUCCAUGGGCUGGAUGGUAAAUCCUUACCUCAUGUUGGGAACAGCCGGACCAGCUGGACCUGAAGACAGACUCUUUCCUUUGAGAAGGAAAAAGAUUGGCAAGUCUCACUGGAUUCAACUUAGAACACAGCUGAAAUAUUAUGAAGCAGGAAGAAAUUAGGUAAAAGAAGAAAUAAAGAUGGCAGGGGAAAAUCUCCA